rnacentral:rRNA from 1 species
GACGAACGCUGGCGGCGUGCUUAACACAUGCAAGUCGAACGGAAAGGCCCUGCUUUUGUGGGGUGCUCGAGUGGCGAACGGGUGAGUAACACGUGAGUAACCUGCCCUUGACUUUGGGAUAACUUCAGGAAACUGGGGCCAAUACCGGAUAGGAGCUCCUGCUGCAUGGUGGGGGUUGGAGAGUUUCGGCGGUUGGGGAUGGACUCGCGGCUUAUCAGCUUGUUGGUGGGGUAGUGGCUUACCAAGGCUUUGACGGGUAGCCGGCCUGAGAGGGUGACCGGCCACAUUGGGACUGAGAUACGGCCCAGACUCCUACGGGAGGCAGCAGUGGGGAAUAUUGCACAAUGGGCGGAAGCCUGAUGCAGCAACGCCGCGUGCGGGAUGACGGCCUUCGGGUUGUAAACCGCUUUCGCCUGUGACGAAGCGUGAGUGACGGUAAUGGGUAAAGAAGCACCGGCUAACUACGUG